rnacentral:tRNA from 1 species
GGAGGUACAUCUCAGUGGUAAAGUAUGUGCUUGGCGUGCACAAGGUCCUGGGUUCAAUCCCCAGUGCCUCCA